ACAGUGCUUGGCACUUAGUAGGUGCUCAGUAAAUGUUUGAAAAGUAAGCCAGGCAUGAUGGUAUAUACUUGUAAUUAUAGGACUCUGAGAGGUUGAGG
rnacentral:pre_miRNA from 1 species